GGGGGGCAUAUCUGCAAGUCGAGCGAGCUUGCCUAGAUGAUUUUAGUGCUUGCACUAAAUGAAACUAGAUACAAGCGAGCGGCGGACGGGUGAGUAACACGUGGGUAACCUGCCCAAGAGACUGGGAUAACACCUGGAAACAGAUGCUAAUACCGGAUAACAACACUAGACGCAUGUCUAGAGUUUGAAAGAUGGUUCUGCUAUCACUCUUGGAUGGACCUGCGGUGCAUUAGCUAGUUGGUAAGGUAACGGCUUACCAAGGCAAUGAUGCAUAGCCGAGUUGAGAGACUGAUCGGCCACAUUGGGACUGAGACACGGCCCAAACUCCUACGGGAGGCAGCAGUAGGGAACCUUCCACAAUGGACGAAAGUCUGAUGGAGCAACGCCGCGUGAGUGAAGAAGGGUUUCGGCUCGUAAAGCUCUGUUGGUAGUGAAGAAAGAUAGAGGUAGUAACUGGCCUUUAUUUGACGGUAAUUACUUAGAAAGUCACGGCUAACUACGUGCCAGCAGCCGCAGUAAUACGUAGGUGGCAAGCGUUGUCCGGAUUUAUUGGGCGUAAAGCGAGUGCAGGCGGUUCAAUAAGUCUGAUGUGAAAGCCUUCGGCUCAACCGGAGAAUUGCAUCAGAAACUGUUGAACUUGAGUGCAGAAGAGGAGAGUGGAGCUCCAUGUGUAGCGGUGGAAUGCGUAGAUAUAUGGAAGAACACCAGUGGCGAAGGCGGCUCUCUGGUCUGCAACUGACGCUGAGGCUC
rnacentral:rRNA from 1 species